AGAUUGAACGCUGGCGGCAGGCCUAACACAUGCAAGUCGAGCGGCAGCACGGGUACUUGUACCUGGUGGCGAGCGGCGGACGGGUGAGUAAUGCCUAGGAAUCUGCCUGGUAGUGGGGAUAACGCUCGGAAACGGCGCUAAUACCGCAUACGUCCUACGGGAGAAGCAGGGGACCUUCGGGCCUUACGCUAUCAGAUGAGCCUAGGUCGAUUAGCUAGGUUGGUAGAGGUAAUGGCUACGACCGAAGGCCGACGAUCCGUAACUGGUACUAGGAGAGGAUGACUCGAGUCCAC
rnacentral:rRNA from 1 species